rnacentral:rRNA from 1 species
CAGUUCGGAUUGCAGGCUGCAACCCGCCUGCAUGAAGCCGGAAUCGCUAGUAAUCGCGGAUCAGAAUGCCGCGGUGAAUACGUUCCCGGGUCUUGUACACACCGCCCGUCACACCAUGGGAGUCGAUAACGCCCGAAGUCAGUGACCCAACCGAGAGGAGGGAGCUGCCGAAGGCGGGAUUGAUAACUGGGGUGAAGUCGUAACAAGGUAAC